AUUGAACGCUGGCGGCAUGCUUUACACAUGCAAGUCGAACGGUAACAGGCCGCAAGGUGCUGACGAGUGGCGAACGGGUGAGUAAUGUAUCGGAACGUGCCCAGUCGUGGGGGAUAACUACUCGAAAGAGUAGCUAAUACCGCAUACGAUCUAUGGAUGAAAGCGGGGGACCGUAAGGCCUCACGCGAUUGGAGCGGCCGAUGUCAGAUUAGGUAGUUGGUGGGGUAAAGGCUCACCAAGCCAACGAUCUGUAGCUGGUCUGAGAGGACGACCAGCCACACUGGGACUGAGACACGGCCCAGACUCCUACGGGAGGCAGCAGUGGGGAAUUUUGGACAAUGGGCGCAAGCCUGAUCCAGCAAUGCCGCGUGCAGGAAGAAGGCCUUCGGGUUGUAAACUGCUUUUGUACGGAACGAAACGGCUCUGGUUAAUACCCGGGGCUAAUGACGGUACCGUAAGAAUAAGCACCGGCUAACUACGUG
rnacentral:rRNA from 1 species